GUAACUAGCACAGCGAAAACCAAUCUGAGGACCUUCGUCUACUCGCAUUUUUUAAUAAUCCGAGUGUAAAUUGAGGGUGCCAAACAGCUGUUCAGGAGCUGCGACGGGUGUCUAACUGCUCACUGAAGAGGUCAAAGAGAGCUUUGAGAAAUGCUUGCCCUGACAGUGAUGUUUGUUCUCUCAGUGCUACCGCUGAUCGCCUUCAUACCAGCCAAUCGCAUAGCUGAGAACUCAAGCAAGCACGAAAUAGAAAAACCUCAAUUUGAAGAGUUUUAUAUUGAAAAUAUCCAGGAUUUCCUGAUUAUUUUACAGACAAGCUAACGAAAUUCAGUAGAUGACCUGCGUUUCAUCGCUGCCAGAUGAUAAACAUUUGGGAGCAGGGACCACUUGCUGAAAGGCAUCUUGAGAGAUAUGCUCCCACUUCUCAGAUCGGAAGACUAAGGCCCCAAAGCCUCCAGAUCUAGCCUCUUAAUCCAGGCUUCUUCUUAGCCACUGUGGUCUCACCCCGUUUAUCAGGCAGUGGGAUCUGUCUGCCCCACCCAACUCCAGAGCUUUUCCUUUUGUUUUGGAAUUGCCCUUGAGUUCUGCGCUGCUCUUCUCCUCUUCCCCGUGGGUAUGAAAACACCAAGGAUGUCAACAGGAAAAGACAAGGAUCUGUAAACAGAGAAGCGAGCAGGAAACAAGGCCCGCAUUCAUGGGAAUAAACUCAGCAACCCUAGAACAUUUGCCAUUCAUAACGGCAAAUUUUAAUCAGUGGUGCUGAGAAACUCUUCCCAAGCAAAAAAGGCUUGUGUCUCUCUGGGGUGGGCCUCUCUCCUUGCUCCAAAUCUGGUCUUAGUUCCCAGUCUAAGGUAGCUAGGGGAUCUUCACAGCACACUCCUUGAACAAUAUCACAUUUAUAUAACCUUGCCCCUCCCUUGUUUGUGAGUCUGGCUAUUUCUUUCCCUGUUAAAAGACAAAACCCCAACCUCGUCAUAGAACACCCACCAAACAAGAGCAGGAAUCCCUCUUUAUCUGAUGGGCUUGCCAUGCAGAGCUGCGGACCCUGAGUUGCCUGGCAGAUGGGAAGCAAGCCCAUCCUGCCCUGUGGAGGGGAGGGGCGGAGGAGAGCCCACUGCCAGUCCACAGCGGCCACACUGGAGAGACCUGCAAAUCCGGGCUGGCCGUGCAAAUCCGGGCUCAUUGUCAGGCUGGCAGCAUUGGCCAGGCCUGAGUAAAUCAAGUGAAACAGAAGACAGAUGGAUGUGACCAAGUUAUUGCCAAGAGGAAACAGACAAGGAUCUUGCUCUGUUACCCAGGCUGGAAGACAGUGGUGUGGACACAGCUCACUAUGGCCUGGACCGUCCUGGGAUGAAGCGAUCCUCCCACCUCAGCCUCCCAAGUAGCUAGAUCUAUAGACACAUGCCACUAUGCCAGGCUAAUUAUUUUAUUUUUUUGUAGAGAUGGGGUCUCACUUUUUUGCUCAGGUUGGUCCCAAACUCCUGGUCUCAAGUGAUCCUCCUGCCUCAGCCUCCCCAAGUGCUGGGAUUACCCCUGUGCCUAAAGUCUAUUUUUUUUUUUUCUUUAAGGAUCUCUUACCAUCUUUGAGAAGAGUAUCUUGUAUGAAUUGUAGAGACGCAUGAUAGAAGUCAGGAAGAGUGGCUGGGUUGAGGGAGGCUUUUUAUUGCAAUAAUCCAGGUGUCAGGGGACAAGAAGCAGGACUAGGACAUUAAUAGCUGGGAUGGAGAGAUUAGGGAACUUUCGAAAGCAAAUGGAGGAAAGGGUAAAGUCAGGGUGUGGUAGCUAGUUUCUAAAGAUUGUUCCCAGUGAACCACACCCAGUAGUGUUGUCUCACAUUGAUUCUGGACUGGGCCAUUCAAACUGAGGGAAUGAGGCAAGAUGGUACUACGUUGACUUCUCAUGACUUCCAAGGCUAGGUUGGAGGAAGGUUUGCCUGGGCCUCUUGGAAUGAGAACCCAGCUCUCACGCCGUGAGAAGCCCAAACCACCCAGCUGAGCUCCUAGCUACCAGCCAGCAUCACCCACCAGCCACAGGAGUGAGCCAUCUUGGGCAGCUAGUCCAGCUGAGCCAUGAGAUGACGGCAGCCCCAGACAACAUCUGUCCUUAAUGACCUAAGAUAACCCAACAAGAACUACCUGCCUGAGCCAAUGGACCUCCAGAAUCAGGAAGGACAAUCAGACGCCGCCUCCCCACCAGCUCAUCUAUAAAACCUCCUGCAUUUCACCGCGGAUCCGGCAACCCAUUUUUCUGAGACCCCUCUCUGCAGCAGAGAACUCUUCUCUUUCUUUUGCAUAUUAAACUUCCGCUCUCAACCUCAAUCUUUAUGUGUCCUCAUUAUUGUUCUCCGUGGCCAUGAGAAAAUGAACCUCGGGUGUGACUCCAGACAAUGAGGCUGUUUCACUUAGAGGUCAAACAACUUGCCCAAAGACAUGUGGCUAUUAAGUGGAAUCAAACCCAGCUCUGCCACUUACUAGUUUAAAUGGUCAGAAAGCACUGUUUUAUGGAUUUUAAUAACUUCUUAUGUCUGUGAGAUUAUUUUGUCUGCAAAUAAUAGAAAAACACAAUUUGGAUCCAUAUAAACCAUCAAGAAAUGUAUUCUUUUCCAUAGGAAG
rnacentral:lncRNA from 1 species